rnacentral:sRNA from 1 species
UUUUAGCCCCGAGUGCAGCGGUAUCCUUUUUUUCUGGUCCCGAAGCCUCGGGAUAGAAAAAAAGAUAUAGCGGAAAGCGGGAAUGUUU